GCAAGCUGCGAUACUACGCCGGAAGGAAGGAUGCCGAGGCGAGGAGGAAACGGAAGAUUUCGCCAUGUUUUGCCCGCCUCCGCCCACGCGUCCCUUGUUGCCACGCACUACCCGAGUACUCCGCCUAUUUAGGCCCCACCACCGCCACCACCCCCCAACUCUCCCCCUCCGACGGCGUCCACCACCCGACCACCUCCCGCACCGUUGCGAGUUGCGACCCACCCACCCACCCGAACCGAUUCGAAUAUCCCGCACACCGCCCCAGCGCCGCGCGCCGCCCGCAAUGCGGCCCGUCUCCAGCGCCGAGGAGGUCGGCGCGCUCCUCUCGCGGAGCGACUCCUCCGGCCGCCGCCGCCGCUCGUCGCCGGUGCAGUCCGCGUCCCCGCGACCCGCCGGAUGCGGCUGCGGCGGCCCGAGGCGGCAGUCCUCGUUCCGCGACGAUGUCGGGCACGCGGCCUCCGAGACGUACCUCGUCACGCGCCUCACCUUCAGCCUCCUGCAGUACCUCGGGUUAGGUUACCGGUGGAUGUCACAACUACUUGCCCUGACAAUCUAUGCAAUUUUACUUAUGCCAGGUUUUUUGCAAGUUGGAUAUUACUAUUUCUUCUCAAGUCAGGUUCGUAGAAGUAUAGUCUAUGGAGAACAACCAAGAAACAGGCUAGAUUUGUACAUACCCAAAGAUAUCAACAGACCCUGCCCAGUGGUGGCCUUCGUAACUGGUGGGGCUUGGAUUAUUGGUUACAAGGCAUGGGGUUCCCUUCUUGGGAGGCGGUUGGCUGAGAGAGGAAUCAUAGUUGCUUGCAUUGAUUACAGAAAUUUCCCUCAAGGAACAAUAGGUGACAUGGUUAGCGAUGCUUCCCAGGGUAUUUCUUAUGUGUGCAACAACAUUGCUAGUUAUGGAGGUGAUCCUAAUCGGAUCUACUUGGUGGGUCAGUCAGCAGGAGCACAUAUUGCUGCAUGUGCCCUCAUCGAGCAGGCAGUGAAAGAAUCUAGUGGGCAGUCCAUUUCUUGGAGUGUUACACAAAUCAAAGCAUAUUUUGGUUUAUCUGGAGGAUACAACAUGCAUAGUUUGGUUGACCAUUUUCAUGAACGUGGUCUUAAUCGUUCAAUAUUUUUCAGCAUAAUGGAAGGAGAGGAGUCAUUGUCACGUUAUUCUCCGGAAAUUGUUGUCAAGCAGUCAAGUUCCCAGACAAUAGCUCUUCUGCCUCCCAUUGUUCUUAUGCAUGGAACUGAAGAUUAUUCAAUACCAUCAUCUGCCAGUCAAACUUUUGCUGACGUCCUUCAACAAGCUGGUGCUCAAGCCAAGUUACAGUUGUACGAAGGCAAAACACAUACAGAUAUAUUUAUACAGGAUCCUCUUCGGGGUGGAAGAGAUCCAUUGGUUGAAGAUGUAUUGUCUAUUAUUCAUGUUGAUGAUGAAAUUACACAAGAAAAGAUUGCUCUGGCACCAGCUCCAAGGCGCCUGGUGUUUGAGUGGCAAUUACAGCUGGCCCGUCGAUUUAGUCCAUUCUAGUAGAUUUUUGCAGAGGAAUUUGUACAUUAAAUAUCUAACUAAUGCAAAGUACAUAUGUGCAUUUUCUGCCUUAAUGAGGAAAGGAUUAUUGGCGAAGCCAUUGUAGAUGGGAUCAGGCGAAACCUUCAGUGUUUUUUUUUCUCAGUGAUGGAAUCCAAACAGAAUUAACACCAAGUGAAAAAAUAUGAAGCGGAUGUCACAACUGUACCAUCUUAUUUGUAAUAUUCAUCACAUGGGCUGCACACACCGUCAAGACCAGCUUGACUAAGGUUGCUGCUACAUGAUCAAGACAUCACGGGGUGACGAGAGGAAGGGACAGACGGGAUUCAUAAUCCCAUAGCAUAGCGUAAGAUGGAGACCCUCGUACUAUCUCCAUCUCUCCUGUUGCCACUAUCAGUUUUUGGCUGCCGCCGGCUUGCUGCUCUUCACCUGAUUUCACAUGAAAAUAGCCAAAUGACUAAAUCAACACGAAGAAGAGACGCUGCCAAGAAAACAACAGCAAGAUUACCAACAUCAAGUUGGAUUUGGAUCAGCUGCAGUACUAUACCUUCUUCUUGGGCUCCCGGGGCUUCUGCUCAGCCUUCUUGACGCCGCCCUUGGCGGCCGCGGGCUUCGUCGCCGUCUCACUGAGCUUGGCAGCCGGCUCCUUGGCAAGUCCGGCAGGUUUCACGGCCUUCAGAGAAGCCAUUCUUCUGAUGCUUCUCUGCUCUGUUCUGUCCUGACCCUGGGAUAAGG